rnacentral:rRNA from 1 species
GACGAACGCUGGCGGCGUGCUUAACACAUGCAAGUCGAACGGAAAGGCCCUGCUUUUGUUGGGUGCUCGAGCGGCGAACGGGUGAGUAACACGUGAGUAACCUGCCCUUGACUUUGGGAUAACUUCAGGAAACUGGGGCUCAUACCGGAUAUGAGCUCCUGCUGCAUGGUGGGGGUUGGAAAGUUUCGGCGGUUGGGGAUGGACUCGCGGCUUAUCAGCUUGUUGGUGGGGUAGUGGCUUACCAAGGCUUUGACGGGUAGCCGGCCUGAGAGGGUGACCGGGGACAAUGGGACUGAGAGACGGCCCAGAAUGGUACGGGAGGCAGUAGGGGGGAAUAUUGCAGAAUGGGCGGAAGUCUGAGGCAGCAACGCCGCGUGCGGGAUAACGGCCUUCGGGUGGUAAACCGAUGUCGACGGAGACGAAGAGUGAGUGACGGUAAUGGGUAAAGAAGCAACGGCUAACUACGUG